UACGUAGGGGGCAAGCGUUGUCCGGAAUCAUUGGGCGUAAAGAGCGUGUAGGCGGUUCGGUAAGUCGGCUGUGAAAGUCCAGGGCUCAACCCUGGGAUGCCGGUCGAUACUGCCGGACUAGAGUUCGGAAGAGGUGAGUGGAAUUCCUGGUGUAGCGGUGAAAUGCGCAGAUAUCAGGAGGAACACCAAUGGCGAAGGCAGCUCACUGGGACGGUAUUGACGCUGAGACGCGAAAGCGUGGGGAGCAAACAGG
rnacentral:rRNA from 1 species